GACUUGUUCCAUGACAUCCCAGGUAGGGAGACUCGGGCAUAUUUCUACACAAAUUUUAAACUUCUUUUCAAGCACGCCGCAGCCCUGUCCACAUGCCUUACACGCGCUUUACCAAUGAGCUUUCCGACCUCGUGUUUACAGAGACUUUCCUCUGCGACACACGGCUUGUAAAAGGACCUCGGAUUUGUGAGCAGAACUUCGAACAGGGAGAUUUUCUUUUCUUUUCUUUAUUCUCUUUUUUCUUGGAGAGGUUUAACAUGAAGUCCGGGAGAACUUUUGGAGGACCAACUGCCCGGAUCGACUUGAAAGAAAUCGCACCUGAUAACGGACAGCGAUUCAUUCACAUUUAUUAAUUAGUUUUUUACACUACAACCAGGACUAAACCUUCGUUUCGUCAAGGAGGAAAAAUCUGACACAGUGUCCGAAUAUUAUAUUUCAGUGCAGAGCCGAUCCUGGCCUCCCUGGGGCCCUAAGCAAAAUUCUGCUAAGGGGCCCUCCUACUGUACCUGACCUGUGAGCCAUGUAAACCAUUUGCCACACAUUCACAGUUGACACCCCAUUGCUCCCACUACAAACCUCCCUCCUUUUAAAAAAGGUUUGCUCCAUCUCUCGGUCAAAGAGGAAAACAAUACAGAAUUGAAUGAGGGUCUGUGUUAGUACUCACUGAAGAAGUCUGUCCUGGGUCUGUGUUAAUAUUUGGUGAAGCUGGCUGUACUGGGUCUAUCCUAAUGCUGCAUGAAGAUGGCUGUACUGAGUCUGUGCUAGUAUUUGGUGAAGCUGGCUGUACUGGGUCUGUGCUAGUACUCACUGAGGCUGGAAGUGAAUGAACUGAGCCUGUGCUUGUACUGGCUGUUGAUCCAGCAUCUUCUCUACUAACAAACUGGAGCAUAGCACCUGAAAGUGGAAUGGAAGUGCACUUUAAAGACCUCACAGGGAUACCACUUAAAGAGACCUUCCUGAACAGCAUUGACAGAAAAGGAAACAGGCUGUUGAACUUCAUGAGGAAUGUUUGUGCAACCAAGAAGAAGCAUGUUUUACAGGCUAUUACAAAAUGACAAGUUUUGAGAGGACAGAAAAAUGGUUGCUCUGAGGAUCUGAGGAUUACUUCUCUCCUAUUUUGAUGAGAAAGAGGAGCUCCUUCUUCAUUAUGUAGAAGAGACAAGCCUCGCAAAGGAGUUGGAAAACCUGCCUGUGACACCUUGUAUUAUUGUGUCUGGUAAGUAUAAGUUUUUACAUAAUUUCCACAACACAGACUAAAAACUCAGUUUACAAUAAUAGUCCAGUUCAAAAGUUUAGAUACCCU